rnacentral:rRNA from 1 species
ACGAACGCUGGCGGCAUGCCUAACACCUGCAAGUCGAACGAGACCUUCGGGUCUAGUGGCGCACGGGUGCGUAACGCGUGGGAACCUGCCCUUAGGUUCGGAAUAACUCCCCGAAAGGGGUGCUAAUACCGGAUAAUGUCUUCGGACCAAAGAUUUAUCGCCUUUGGAUGGGCCCGCGUUGGAUUAGCUAGUUGGUAGGGUAAAAGCCUACCAAGGCGACGAUCCAUAGCUGGUCUGAGAGGAUGAUCAGCCACACUGGGACUGAGACACGGCCCAGACUCCUACGGGAGGCAGCAGUGGGGAAUAUUGGACAAUGGGCGAAAGCCAGAUCCAGCAAUGCCGCGUGAGUGAUGAAGGCCUUAGGGUUGUAAAGCUCUUUUACCCGGGAUGAUAAUGACAGUACCGGGAGAAUAAGCUCCGGCUAACUCCGUG